GCCCUAGUAGCUUAGUCCUUAAAGCAUCGGUCUUGUAAACCGAAGAUAAGGGGUUAAAUUCCUCUCUAGCGCC
rnacentral:tRNA from 1 species